UAGGGAAUCUUCCGCAAUGGACGAAAGUCUGACGGAGCAACGCCGCGUGAGUGAUGAAGGCUUUCGGGUCGUAAAACUCUGUUGUUAGGGAAGAACAAGUGCUAGUUGAAUAAGCUGGCACCUUUACGGUACCUAACCAGAAAGCCACGGCUAACUACGUGCCAGCAGCCGCGGUAAUACGUAGGUGGCAAGCGUUAUCCGGAAUUAUUGGGCGUAAAGCGCGCGCAGGUGGUUUCUUAAGUCUGAUGUGAAAGCCCACGGCUCAACCGUGGAGGGUCAUUGGAAACUGGGAGACUUGAGUGCAGAAGAGGAAAGUGGAAUUCCAUGUGUAGCGGUGAAAUGCGUAGAGAUAUGGAGGAACACCAGUGGCGAAGGCGACUUUCUGGUCUGUAACUGACACUGAGGCGCGAAAGCGUGGGGAGCAAACAGG
rnacentral:rRNA from 1 species